UGCUUCAUUCUGCGUCGUUCAUUUUACCUCGAGAAACUUUCGAAUCCAGUUGACUCGAAAUCCGAAGUAAUCCAGCUAUUCCAAACUUAUCUAGAGUAAUUUAAAGGAGGAGAUGAGAGCUAAGUGGCGUAAGAAAAGGAUGCGGAGGCUAAAGCGUAAGAGGAGGAAGAUGCGUGCGAGGUCUAAAUAAACAGUUCCUUUUCACAGUCUCUCUGUGAAAGGGGAGAAGACCUGCGACGUUUCACCAUUCGACGAACGCUCCUAAUUGAUUGAAAAUCCCUGGGAGACGAAUCUUCAAUGGACACGUUUUUCGCAUUGAGAGAAUUUUGUAUUUGUAAAUCUUGUCUGGUUAAAUAUAUCAACUACUCAAGACAGAA